GAUGAACGCUAGCGGCAGGCCUAACACAUGCAAGUCGAGGGGUAGAAGGAGCUUGCUCCUUUGAGACCGGCGCACGGGUGCGUAACGCGUAUGCAAUCUGCCUUGUACAGAGGGAUAGCCCAGAGAAAUUUGGAUUAAUACCUCAUAGUGUAAUGAUAUGGCAUCAUAUUAUUACUAAAGCUUCGGCGGUACAAGAUGAGCAUGCGUCCCAUUAGCUAGUUGGUAAGGUAACGGCUUACCAAGGCUACGAUGGGUAGGGGUCCUGAGAGGGAGAUCCCCCACACUGGUACUGAGACACGUACCAGACUCCUACGGGAGGCAGCAGUGAGGAAUAUUGGUCAAUGGUCGGAAGACUGAACCAGCCAUGCCGCGUGCAGGAUGACGGCCCUAUGGGUUGUAAACUGCUUUUGUACGGGAAGAAACACCGGUUCGUGAACCGGCUUGACGGUACCGUAAGAAUAAGGAUCGGCUAACUCCGUGCCAGCCGCCGCCGUAAGAC
rnacentral:rRNA from 1 species